rnacentral:lncRNA from 1 species
GUCAAUAUUCACAGCUAUUGGAUGUUGUUAAGGAGCAAGCACUGAGACCCAUCCCUUCUCCUCUUGUGUUCUGUUGGCGAGAAUAGACAUAAUGGCAUCCAACUGCUGAUGUGUGUUGGCGAAUGUAGUUUGAACCUGAAGUGUAAUGGUCACUCCUACUUCCACCCUGAAUCUGGACUUGCCUAUGAAGAGAUCUGGAUAUGUAGGGCAGUUUUAGAAGCCACUGGGAAGGGCCACAGGCCUGCUCCACGCACCGUAACCAGCAGGACACUUGGACUUGACAGAGCAGUGAUUUAUAACUCCUCCCUUGCUUCUUUCUCCAUGGUGUAAUUUCAGAAGUGAGAUGAUUGCUCCUUGCUGUUUGCUAUGCACUCUGUGGAUUCCACGCUGAGAUCACUACAGUUGGAGAAGGAUGGCCUCUAUCAAAGCAAGUCAGAGAAACUCCGAGGAGAGAAGCCAAGGUGUCAUUUCCUGGGACCAAAUGUUUUAUUGAUGGACAAAGAAUUGCACAUAUUUAACAUGGAAAAUUUGAUGAAUUUGGUCAUCAGCAAACAUCCUUGAUACCAUCACCACAAUCAGAUAAUAGAUCCAACACCUCCAAGAGUUUUCUGGUUUUCCUUAAGUUUUUUUUUUUGUGUAUAUGUGGUAAGAACACUUAACAUCAUUCUUAUUAUUAAACAGAAGGUGAGUUAUGGACCAACAGAUGUUACCAAACCAAGCAAGGAAUCGAAAUAGAAAUGUUUACUUUUGCUGCAUGAUAGUAGAAUAAUGCACUUAUUUUUGUUCAUUCGCUCAUUCAUUUGCUGAGAUAUUUACUGUGUUCCACUUGUGUUGUUUUUAGCACUUAAGAUGCAGUCGUGGAAAAGAGACCAGUUUCUUAUCAAUGAGGUUUACAUUUUAAUGGGGAAGUAGAAGAAAUGCUUUUGUUUUGAAAACCUUCAGCUGCAAUGACUUUUGAAUUAAUUUCUUCAGUCAUUUAAUUAUUCAUUAAGUUACUUUUGAAGCAAUUAUUCAAAAAUCAUGUUCAACAUAGUAUUUACCAUAAUAAAAGUGAUGUUAUUUGGAGAAAUUUUUAGAAAACAAAAUAAAGUUUAAAACCACCUAUAAUUACAUAAUAUGGAAGACUAUGGCAAUGAGUAAUUUGUGUCUAUGUCCUCCAUUUUUCUCUAUAUUUAGAUUUAUGGACCAAUGUAAUUUUCUGAAAACAAAGGAAUUGAUUUUAUAAAUUACUUUCCCUCAUUCUCUUAAAUAUUCUCUAAGAAUA